rnacentral:RNase_P_RNA from 1 species
CCAGGGGGCCGGGCAGCCGCGGGUGCUUUGCACGCGAGGAAAGUCCGGGCUCCACGAAACAAGGGUGGCGGGUAACGCCCGCCCGGCGAGGUCUUCGGGCCGAAGCCGAGGGAAAGUGCCACAGAGAGUAUACCGCCGAUGGCGCCUAAAGCGCACAGGCAAGGGUGAAAGGGUGCGGCAAGAGCGCACCGGGGGGCUGGCAACAGCUCCCGCAUGGCAAACCCCACCCGGAGCAAGGCCGAAUAGGGGCGGCGCGCCAGCUUGCUGGCAGAUACGUUUCGUAUCGACCGCCCGGGUUGGCUGCUGGAGCCGUGGAGCGAUCCACGGCCUAGAUGAAUGGCUGCCCCCGCGGCGCUGAUGUGCGAGCAUAUCGGCCGCGGGACAGAACCCGGCUUACAGGCCCCCUGGCACU